rnacentral:rRNA from 1 species
CAAGGUUUCCGUAGGUGAACCUGCGGAAGGAUCAAUUAUCCGAACAAGAAGGGGGAAAGACUGUCGCUGGCGAAAGCAUGUGCACGUCCAACCUUUUCUAUUACACACCCGUGCACCUUUUGUAGGUCCUCGAAAGAGGAUCUAUGUAUUUCAUCAUCACACCUAUCGUAUGUCUAGAAUGUCAUCGUCGACCACUGGGCGGCGAAAUAAAUAAUACAACUUUCAGCAACGGAUCUCUUGGCUCUCGCAUCGAUGAAGAACGCAGCGAAUUGCGAUAAGUAAUGUGAAUUGCAGAUUUUCAGUGAAUCAUCGAAUCUUUGAACGCACCUUGCGCUCCUUGGUAUUCCGAGGAGCAUGCCUGUUUGAGUGUCAUUAAAUUCUCAACCAUGACUUUGUUGACAUGGCUUGGAGUUGGGGGUUGCUGGCUUGUUUGUCAGCUCUCCUGAAAUACAUUAGCGGUGGACAAGCAAGGCCUUCCGACGUGAUAAUGAUCGUCGUGGGGCGGAGCAUCAACGUCUGUCUGCUUCUAAAUCCCAGAUGCCUUAGCUAGACAUCAUUUCGAACAGCUUGACCUCAAAUCAGGUAGGACUACCCG